UGCGGCCGAUUAGGUUGUUGCUAGGGUUAAUGACCCUAGCAAGCCUAUAAUCGGUACGGGCUCUGAGAGGAGGAGCCCCGAGACGGACUCUUAGACACGAGUCCGGGCCCUACGGGGCGCAGCAGGCGCGAAACCUUUUACAAUGUGCGAAAGCACGAUAAGGGGAUCCCAAGUGCCAGCGCACUGCGUUGGCUGUUCUCUAGCCUAAAAAGCUAGAGGUAGUAAGGACCGGGCAAGACCGGUGCCAGCCGCCGCGGUAGCACCGGCGGUCCAAGUGGUGGCCACUUUUAUUGGGCCUAAAGCGUCCGUAGCCGGCCAAGUAAGUCCUUUAGGAAAUCUGGUGGCUUAACCAUCAGGCGACUGAGGGAAACUACUUGGCUUGGGACCGGGAGAGGUUCCGGGUACCCCAGGGGUAGCGGUGAAAUCCUGUAAUCCCUGGGAGACCACCUGUGGCUAAAGCUCGGAACUAGAACGGGUCCGACGGUGAGGGACGAAAGCCAGGGGCACAAACCGGAUUAGAUACCCGGGUAGUCCUGGCCGUCAACGAUGCCCGCUAGGUGUAGGCCGUAGCACGUCUGCGGCCUGUGCCUUAGUGAAGACGUUAAGCGGGCCGCCUGGGAAGAACGUCCGCAAGGAUGAAACUUAAAGGAAUUGGCGGGGGAGCACCACAACCGGUGGAGCC
rnacentral:rRNA from 1 species